rnacentral:rRNA from 1 species
GGCGAGUGGCGAACGGGUGAGUAAUGCAUCGGAACGUGCCCAAUCGUGGGGGAUAACGCAGCGAAAGCUGUGCUAAUACCGCAUACGCCCUACGGAUGAAAGCGGGGGAUCGCAAGACCUCGCGCGAUUGGAGCGGCCGAUAUCAGAUUAGGUUGUUGGUGAGGUAAAAGCUCACCAAGCCGACGAUCAGUAGCUGGUCUGAGAGGAUGGACAGCCACAUUGGGACUGAGACACGGUCCAGACUCC